rnacentral:rRNA from 1 species
AUACGGAAGGUCCGGGCGUUAUCCGGAUUUAUUGGGUUUAAAGGGAGCGCAGGCGGAGAUGCAAGCGUGACGUCAAAUUUCGGGGCUCAACCCCGUCUCGCGUCGCGAACUGCGUCCCUUGGUUGCGGGAAGGGGAGGCGGAACUCGUGGUGGAGCGGUGAAAUGCAUAGAUAUCACGAAGAACUCCGAUCGCGAAGGCAGCCUUCCGGCCCGUCAACGACGCUCAUGCUCGAAGGUGCGGGUAUCAAACAGGAUUAGAUACCCUGGUAGUCCGCACAGUAAACGAUGGACACCCGCGGUUUGGCCUGUAUGGCUGAGCCGCCAAGCGAAAGCGUUAAGUGUCCCACCUGGGGAGUACGCCGGCAACGGUGAAACUCAAAUGAAUUGGCGGGG